rnacentral:rRNA from 1 species
CCUACGGGUGGCAGCAGUGAGGAAUAUUUGUCAAUGGACGAGAGUCUGAACCAGCCACGUCGCGUGAAGGAUGACUGCCCUAUGGGUUGUAAACUUCUUUUAUAUGGGAAUAAAAUGUUCCACGUGUGGGAUUUUGUAUGUACCAUAUGAAUAAGGAUCGGCUAACUGCGUGCCAGCAGCCGCGGUAAUACGGAGGAUCCGAGCGUUAUCCGGAUUUAUUGGGUUUAAAGGGAGCGUAGGUGGAUUGUUAAGUCAGUUGUGAAAGUUUGGGGCUCAACCGUAAAAUUGCAGUUGAAACUGGCAGUCUUGAGUACAGGAGAGGUGGGCGGAAUUCGUGGUGUAGCGGUGAAAUGCUUAGAUAUCACGAAGAACACCGAUUGCGAAGGCAGUUCACUGGACUGCAACUGACACUGAGGCUCGAAAGUGUGGGUAUCAAACAGGAUUAGAUACCCGUGUAGUC